UAGGAAUCAUCAAUAAAUAAUAAAUAAGACUUUGAAAAUCAAUACAACUAUCCGAAGGACUGAUAGCAGAUGUCAUAAGUCACUAAAAUUUAGAUUUACAAAAGCUGGUACGAAGAAUAAAUACAACAUAUAUUUGAAGUUUACAUAAACAGAAUUUUAAGUCCUAAACUACUGAGAACAAGUGGUAGCUUGAAUCUGGAUUUCUGGUACAACUCCAAUGCUAGCCUCGUUAUCCACAUCAGCUCAGCUCCAAGAUCUGCGUGCAAGGUACAAAAAUGUAGUAUGAGUACAACCGAUUUCAUGUACUCAGUAAGUAUUUUGACAAACCUCAGUGAAGUAGUGACACAGGUUUUAAGUAAAAAAGAUACUCACUUUGUAUAACCCGUGCAACUCAAUAACAUUUAUAAUACAGAGAAGUAUUCAAUGAGAUAGCCAUAGAAUAACGGAUAUCAUCAAUAAAGGUGCACAACUGGGGUAAGGUAAUCAACAAGUUUUGCCAAUUUAACAGAUUGAGCAAUUACAACUUGCAUCAACUCCGCGCACAAAGAGACAUGCACCAAGUAGUGUAUAUUCAAAUACUCAUACAUGACCGUAGAGUGUCCAUACAUAACAAUGAUCCAAUUGUGUAUCAAUUUAUAAACACCUUUUUUAUGAAACUUUUACAUGAGUCCAAAAUUUCAAUGUAUGAAGAUAACCCAUUUUUUUACAUCAAUCUGACACUAUCCAAGUAUCCAACAACGCAGUAAUAAGUCUCAUACAUAUGUAAAAUGUAUCAACUAGUAUAUGCAGAUGAUAUGCAUGAAUAAAGGUUGUAAAAAUGCAUGAAUAUGUAAAAAGUAUCACUUGAGUGGUCAAAACUUCCACCUUUAUGCUCAAUAACUCAGCACAUAGGAUUCCACAUCACAAUUAACCAGAAACUCGUCGGUUUCUCAUAACUUGCCUGUACGCCAUUAAUAGAGAAAUAUGAGAGGGCGACCCUAGGGGGAUGGAUCCUUAUCCACAUGUUGCACAGACAACUCACGUUCCAUAAUCAUAUCAACCUCGUGGAAAAGACCUCGUGCCAAAUCAAUAUCACAUCACCAUCCGUACGACAAAGAUCUCGUGCAAAAAUAAUAUCAAUAUCACAAUAUUCGCACAGCAGAAACCUCAUGCUAAGACAUUAUCACAUCACAAUCCGCACGGAAAAUACCUCGUAUCAAAUCAAUAACAAUAUCACAAUAUUUGCAUGCAGAAACCUCGUGCCCAAGUAAUAUUAUAUCACAGUCCGCACGAUAAAGACCUUGUGGAAAAGUAAUAUCAGUAUCACAAUAUCUGUAUGGUAGAAAUAUCGUGCCAUAACCGCAGUCCAUAUCCGAGAACCAUAUACAAUGAUGUAUGCAUAUGAAUAAAAGAUAAACAUAUGUAAUGCAUAUGGACAUAGAAAUAACCAUACAUGGAUGUAUGCGUGUAUACAAGGGAUGAUCCCUAGGUAGGAUGUAUGCCUAUAUGUACAUAUGACCACAAACCCAACAUGUAAUACAUCAUCCAAAUAAUCAUCAUGCCCAGAUAAGCAUCAAAAAUAAUUUCGUAGUCUUUAACGUGGAUAAGAAAACUCAAAUAGUCGUACAUCAAUUUACGGUAUAACACAAGAAUAAUAAGUACGGGUGUGUAUUCACAACGUAUGUGUAACUACGUCUAAAGUAUGUAUAACAGCAAUAUCAACAAUAGUUUAACAAGCACAAAAUAAGGUACCAUUAUCCUAAACAUUAACUCUAGCAUGCUUUAUCGGGCUCACGUAGUCUAUUAAUUGAGUAAAACAUAGAAUCAAGCAGAAUAGACAACCAAACAAGGUAUAAGGUAUUCUAUAGUCUACCCCGAGCAUAAUACCCAUGGCACAUGUAUAUACACUCGUCACCUCAUAUAUACAUCACCCCUUAUGUAGUAAAUAGUUUUAUUUAUUAGGAAACAUUUUCUCAACCAAAUCUAGGCAAGACGCUUACCUCAUCCGGGCUAGUCCAAAGCUCCAAAAUCACAUUUCCUUGAGCAAUUACUCCUAACUGGCUUAAAUCUAGCGAAAUAUCAACCAAGGAAGUCAACCAAUUCCAUAGGAAGUAAUCCUAAUCAAUAAAACUUCUAUCUUUAAAGAACUCCCAAAAAGUAAACAAAAGUCAACCCGGACUCGUGUGUCAAAAAUUCGGAACCAAUAUCAAAAGACGAUGACUCAUAAAUAGCCGACACCAAAUAUUUAAUUAGUUCCCAAAACCGAAUCUAAACCGGCAUUCAAAUUCCCAAAAUACACUCUCUUAAAGUGUAGGUAAAACACCCAAAUUUUCCUUCAAAAUUUCAUGUUCUCUGUCAAUGAUGUGUUGCAUUGUUCUCUCCGGGCACGUUUUACGAGAAUUUCCUCUUUUUAUUUUUAUAGGCCCAUUUGGUUUCAAAUAAAAUAAUGAAUAGGUUCUCGUGCUAUGAGGAAGCACUUUUGGAGUUGAGGAGCAUGAUGAAGCAUGGCAGGGAAAGCUUGACAGGACCCAUGUCGAGAAGGAACUUUUCAGCUUCGGGCACAAUUGGUUUCGAAUAGAUUGAAAAGCUGAUGGUGGAGCUUAAAGAGCAUGAGGAUUUCUCUGCUGAAUAAAGUUCUCAGGCAGCUCAGGAGCUAUGGUCUUUGAAGAAGUUGUUUGCCAAUAAAGAGGCUUAUUCCAGAUACUUCAGUCAAGGGUAUUCUCGAGUGAUGAAUAGUCUGCAAAUAUCACAAGACAAAGUGCAAGCUCUUGAAAACUCCUUGAAAGAUGAGAGGGAUGGUCUUGCUGAUUCAGAAGUUAAUAGGUUGAAUCUACAGUCUGAGAAGGGGGAAAGUAGAUGCCGACUAUGAAGUGCUCAAAAAUCAAAUCGGGCUUGCUUACAAUUAGCUUUAUUGGAAACCCAUUUGAAGAUUAGAGGUAGUCUGUGCUGGGAUCCCUGAUUUGGACGGGAAUAUUGAGAAAGUUAGACAUAAGGUGGAGGAAGCCUGGCUACUAAUAAUUUCAUCUACUUCCUAAGAUUAUUCCUUGAAAGAAGAGACGCUCUCAGAGUGGCCGAAUGAGGUUGACAAAGAAGAAGACACCGAAUCACAUCCUUCGAUUUCAACUCCUCAAAUGGAUCUUCCUUCGAUGGUACCAUCAACUUCUCAAACUUUUCCUCCUAUCCUCAAAUUGUUAAUCUAGAUUCUCCUUCUCAAAGCCAGCAAUAAGCAUUGGUACUUAGUGAAAAGUGCAGUAACCCGAGUUUGGGGUGUUAUCCGUGCAAUGACCCGUUUGAGGUAUUUUCUUAUUUGUUCUUUUUUGUUUGAGAAAUAUUUUGUUGAUCAUUUUGUGAAUAUGUUGAUGGAACAACUAUUUUUGAAGCCUUUGAGCCUUUGCUUAAUGAAUAGUUUAUGGCUUCUAUUUUCGUACUUAAAUUAUUUUUUAAUUCGGAAGUACUUUAUUUGAGUUUUCGAUUAUUGUUG
rnacentral:lncRNA from 1 species